AUGUCGAUUAAAGGAGGGAUGGUUAGCAUCUCCCUUGACAGGGUCGGGAACAGCGUUCGGGCUUCCCUGUUAAUACAUACGGUAAAUCAAUUGUCAAAUGAAGCAGCCCAAAUCAAAUUAGUUC
rfam:Cucumis melo, WGS project CAJI01000000 data, contig: 14305